AUUGAACGCUGGCGGAAUGCUUUACACAUGCAAGUCGAACGGUAGAGGGGGCAACCCCUCGAGAGUGGCGAACGGGUGAGUAAUAUAUCGGAACGUGCCCAGUCGUGGAGGAUAACGUAGCGAAAGUUACGCUAAUACCGCAUACGAUCUAAGGAUGAAAGCGGGGGAUCGCGAGACCUCGCGCGAUUGGAGCGGCCGAUAUCAGAUUAGGUAGUUGGUGGGGUAAAGGCUCACCAAGCCAACGAUCUGUAGCUGGUCUGAGAGGACGACCAGCCACACUGGAACGGAGACACGGUCCAGACUCCUACGGGAGGCGGCAGUGGGGAAUUUUGGACAAUGGACGCAAGUCUGAUCCAGCCAUUCCGCGUGCAGGAUGAAGGCCCUCGGGUUGUAAACUGCUUUUGUACGGAACGAAAAGGUCUCUCUUAAUACGGGGGACUCAUGACGGUACCGUAAGAAUAAGCACCGGCUAACUACGUGCCAGCCGCCGCCGUAA
rnacentral:rRNA from 1 species